rnacentral:rRNA from 1 species
AGAGCGAACGCUGGCGGCAGGCCUAACACAUGCAAGUCGAGCGCCCGUAGCAAUACGGGAGCGGCAGACGGGAUAGUAACACGUGGGAACGCGCCCUUCGGUUCGGAAUAACUCAGGGAAACUUGAGCUAAUACCGGAUACGCCCUUACGGGGAAAGAUUUAUUGCCGAAGGAACGGCCCGCGUCCGAUUAGCUAGUUGGUGAGGUAAUGGCUCACCAAGGCGACGAUCGGUAGCUGGUCUGAGAGGAUGACCAGCAUCACUGGGACUGAGACACGGCCCAGACUCCUACGGGAGGCAGCAGUGGGGAAUAUUGGACAAUGGGCGCAAGCCUGAUCCAGCCAUGCCGCGUGGAUGAUGAAGGCCUUAGGGUUGUAAAGUCCUUUUAACGGGGAAGAUAAGUGACGGUACCCGUAGAAUAAGCCCCGGCUAACUUCGUGCCAGCAGCCGC